AGAGCGAACGCUGGCGGCAGGCCUAACACAUGCAAGUCGAGCGCCCCGCAAGGGGAGCGGCAGACGGGAGAGUAACACGUGGGAACAUGCCCUUCAGUCCGGAACAACCCAGGGAAACUUGGGCUAAUACCGGAUACGUCCGUAAGGAGAAAGAUUUAUCGCUGAAGGAUUGGCCCGCGUCUGAUUAGCUAGUUGGUGAGGUAACGGCUCACCAAGGCGACGAUCAGUAGCUGGUCUGAGAGGAUGAUCAGCCUCACUGGGACUGAGACACGGUCCAGACUCCUACGGGAGGCAGCAGUGGGAAUAUUGGACAAUGGGCGCAAGCCUGAUCCAGCCAUGCCGCGUGGGUGAUGAAGGCCCUAGGGUUGUAAAGCCCUUUCGGCGGGGUAAGAUAAUGACGGUACCCGCGAGAAGAACGCCCCGGCUAACUUCGUGCCAGCAGCCGC
rnacentral:rRNA from 1 species